CUGCUGCCUUCCGUAGGAGUCUGGUCCGUGUCUCAGUACCAGUGUGGGGGACCUUCCUCUCAGAACCCCUACGCAUCGUCGCCUUGGUGGGCCGUUACCCCGCCAACAAGCUAAUGCGACGCAUGGCCAUCCGCAGCCGGUAAACCUUUGGACCCGAAGGGAUGCCCCUCCGGGUCGUUACGCGGUAUUAGACGGGGUUUCCCCCGAUUAUCCCCUGCUGCGGGCAGGUUCCAUACGUGUUACUCACCCGUGCGCCGGUCGCCGGCGGAAGCGCGAACG
rnacentral:rRNA from 1 species